UUCAUCGAUUUUUUCUUAAUAAUAUUCUUCGACAAGCGCCAAAAUUUUUGGCCAAAUAUUGAACUUCCCUCUCGAAUGAAAAAAGAAAGAUUCUUGUUCUUUCAAAAAAAAAAAAAUGAAUGAAAAAGAAAGAGAUAGAAGACCGCCUUCAACGGCGUCGUCGAGGAGCUCAAGAAUUUCACGACUCGCGUCCCCCAAGUGCUUCCCCUUUCAGGCGACGGAGGAAGCACCGCCGAUAUUGUCCGCGUCCUCAGAGAGACUCAUUAUCUCAAAUCUCCUCUUCAAAUUGGAUUUCGGGAGUCCGAUGCCGGCGAUGCAGGAAGAUCCGCCGGACGGCUGAGGCGAUAUCCAGAAAUCCGAAACCGUUACUGCGAUGGUCCUCAGAACCAAAUAGAAAAAUGCCAGCUACAGCUCGUCGAACACGAAGACAUCGAUGAUGAAGACGACCUCUUCGAAGCGAUCGAUGAGAUUAAUUUUCAAAUUCCUGAUGGAUUUUCUUAGUGACUUCUCGCCGGAAUUGAGUGCGUUUGCUCCCAAUUUUAUGAUUAGAAGUAAAUUUCAAGAGAAAAUUGCUUCAGAAGUGACUAAAUCGAAGUUUUAAUGGAGCGAUGAGAAUUAUGUGCAAUGAUUGCUCAGGGAAUCAAUGCCGGAGAUGUUAAGAAGCUUCAGGACGCAGGGAUCUACACCUGGCAAUUCACCAAGAAGCUUCCUACUAACAUGCAUGGUGGGAAUGGAAAGGUUGCUUACAUUGAUACUGAGGGAACUUUGUAUCCUUUUCCUUUGUCCAUCCAAACUAAUGUUUCAUGUUGCUUUUUAUCAACAAAGGAUGACCAAGAAUUAUCAACAUAGGAUCAUUCCUGCUGACAUACAGAUAUACUUUGAAGAAACACGCCGCUAACACACAAGUAUAUUGCUUCUCCCCAUCUACUGAGUGUAUUCCAGUUUGUAUAGCCUCCUCAAUGUCGAGGUAACUAGCUCUUAUAAUCAAUGCACUCUGUUAUGUGCCCCUAUUUCUCUCUUUCUUUCUUUUUUCUCUACAGAACUUGAUGCUUUGGCCAAUAACCAUGAAACUAUUUCCAGGAAAUAUAAUGUAUUGCAAUCAUCUACUUGUUCAUGUGCACCAUUGAGUUCAGACUUCAUAGACACCAUGUGGAAUGUAGUAUAUUGUGAUAGAGAUCAUUCCCUAACUUAUCGUUUUAUUAGUCAAAAGGAUUAAAUGAUGUAAUGAGAUUUAGUAUAUCAUUGUUACGCUUCUAGUUGUAGUUGAUUGAGAUAAUUUUGAGGUAAGAGUUUCUUUUACAUUGGAUAUAUUGUACCUCUACUUUGUUUCAAUAAGUGUCUAAACAUGAUAUGGCUAAUGGCUACAUUGUUGGGGUGACUCUUGGGGUGACUCUGGAACA